rnacentral:tRNA from 1 species
GCCUGGGUGGCUCAGUCGGUUAAGCGUCUGACUUCGGCUCAGGUCAUGAUCUCACAGUUUGUGGGUUUGAGCCCUGUGUCAGGCU